ACGAACAGUCCUCAUUUUUAAUUAUCAAAUCUGAGUGGAGCCGUGCAGCUCCAUUCUAGAUUCCCGUCUCAUCUUUGAAUUAGAGGGCCAAACCAGUUAGGGUCAAGGGUCAAAUUGGCGAGAAGGUAAAGAAACGGGAGUGCAGGGCUGAACGUCUUGGAGCAGGAAACAUUGUUUCAGAUCCAAGCCAAGUGGCAUGUCUACUCAGUACCGAGAUGAAGCACAACUUUCCGGUGAUGCCAGUACUUUCAAACCUGGGGAAACCAAUUAUGGAGUAGAUGAACGUAUUUUUGCAUCCACUUCUCGCUAUAACAUUCUCGCCCUUCUUGCCUGCCUCCAUGCAGCUCUACUUUUCAGUAUUGAUCUGAUGUAUCGGGGAAAAAACGAGUCUAUGUUUGAAGCACACCCCAUAAUCUCCAAGGUUGCUGUUGGUAGUUUACUGGCAUAUGGCUUCACAUAUGGAGUUGAGUUUAGCUUCAUUAAUUGUCUCCCUCUUGCUGGUGCUUGUUUUGUCCGCAGCAGCAUGAUAUAUUUUGGUUCUCUCUCAGUAGCUUCACUUGUAUCAGUAUUGUACCCGAAUUCCGCAGCUGUGCUAUAUACCAUAUGUACCUUGCUUCCAUUUGUAGCACAUGGACUUCUCAGAAGGCUGUGGAGCAAACAGGUUAAGAGAACGCUCUGAUUCAGAGCAACUGUUGAAGGAAAAUGAAAAAUGAAAGAGGAAAGGGAAACAGGGUAGAAAAAACUUGUUUGUUUGUGGGUUAAUGUCUUCGAUGAGAAACAGUUUCUUUUGUUUAAUGGUUUAAGUCAAUGUUUUUA